rnacentral:lncRNA from 1 species
CUUAGACUUCAGAUUUCAGGUACCAGGAUGAUCUUCAGAUUCUCGUGACCUCACUGCUAUUCGUAGCAGUACAAACAAACAUGGUAUAGGCAAAAUUAACAUCACACCAAACAUAAGCACAAACUGUAUAAUAAUAUUUUACGCGAUGCUACGAGAUCGUAGGUUCGAGAACCACUAAACUCGGAGUUACGAUUAUAAAGUUAUGAAUUUUUGGAAGACCUACACGAUCACAUAUUAAACUAUAGUAUAAAAUGUUUAAUAUACAUCAUACGAGAAAUUAUGCUCAAAAUAAUUAAUCCUAAUUUAAUCUAGAUUAUAACUUGUUUAGAAAUCAUAUUACAGCCAAAUUACAAUUAUAGACAUGUUGACUUGACUAGAUUGAUUAACCAACUAACACAAGCUAAAUAAAUAUCCAAUUAUAAAAGUAUAUGGACUAAUAAAAAUAAUGAUCUAAGGUGUAAACAAUUUUAUUACGAAGCUAAUGCAAUUUGAACGGAUUGAAACAGACUUAAAAUAAAUUAAAUAUGAAUUAAAUAAGUUUCUGGAAUUACUUUUAUAUAAAAAACAAUUUUAUUAUAAUUUCCGGAAUCCUAAAUCGUGACCACAAUUAUUUGAAACUUCAGGGGCACUUCUGCUAAGAAAGGGGACCCGAGCGCAAUUAUUUUCCCACCUACAUUGUAACACCCUGAAUUUGGGGUAUAAAAUUUCUUUCUUAUGAUCAUCCAAAUUCACGUGUUACUCUUCUCUAUCUCACUCUAGCUUCACUCUCUCUCUCUAGUUUUCUCCCUCUCUUUUUCUUUUAAUUAGAGUUAGUGGUAUUAGUGAAGGAUUAUUUAUUUUAUUUUGCCCAAAACCUAUGAGUCAUGGAAUGUUGCAUCAUAUUGAGUCUAAAUAUUCUUUGAAUUGUUGCAUAUAUUUGAUUUGGUUUGAAUUUGAAACUUGAUUUGAAUUUGAAUUGAAAACCCUAGAGAAAAUAGAAAAAGCCAAUCUGGCCCAGUUAGCCCAAGUCGGCCUAGCUUGCGCGCCCGCGCUGACAGGCGAACCCCGCCUGUCAGUUUGUCUCGCCAGCGCGCCCUCUCUCCCCCCUCUCUGCCCCGUGGGCCAGAGCUGUCAGCGCCAUUAUUUUCCCCCGCGCCCACUCUCUCUCUGUCCUGCCGUCCCCACCUUUCAGCUCGUCCUCAACCUCCCACCCACGAUCUCCCCGCCGUGGACGCGCCCACGACCGCGCGUUCUCCAGCCACAUCCGCGCCACCGCGCCCCUUUUGAGCCUCGCGCCCUACUCGCCCAUCUCUCCUCUCUCAUUUGCGCCCUCUGCCCAACCCUCUCGCCCUCUCUCUCGCUCUGCCCACGCGUGCAGGGAGCUCUGCCACCGCCCGCCGUCGACCGCUGCCUGUUCUGUGGCCGCCGUCACGCCCGUGCCCCGUUAAGUGCCACAGUGAGCUCCGCCUUACUGUCAGCUGCUCGGGACACCCUUAUGUGUGCCGUUUCUUUCCCUGCUGCGUCCGGUCCGUGCUCACCGGAGCGUUUCUUGCGCAGCUAGAGCCCGCCGCCGUCGCCCCGUCGAGCCCUUGCUCCUUCGUCGUUGCUUCGCGACGCCAACGCUUUUGCUCGAGGUGAGCAACCUGCCCGUGCCCUUAAUCUGGUCAUUGCUGCCCUGUUUAGCGCGUGAUUGUUCGCCGGAGUUGCCCUGCACCGCCGUUAGGGCGCCUCGCCGUGUGCAGCGCCCUCUGGUGCUCCUGCGCCGGCGUGAGGCCCAUGUCUGAACCCGCCAGAUCACCCUGAUUGCGCCCAGACCAAUCCCCAAGCCCCGGGAGCCCCGCCGUGGCCAGCCCCCUCGUCUCCGGCGAGUUCUCGCCACGGGACCGAGCGGCGCCACCACGCCCACGCCUGUCUCUGGCCGUUAGAUCCCGGCCGUUCAUCCGAGAUCGGACAAUUUAGAGCUAACCCGAGCGGAUCUAAUCCUAGCCCUCCAAUCUGGAUCCAACCGUCUCUCUCUUCCCCCCUCACCCGCGUCUCUGCCGCUAGGGCCGGUUGGUCAGCCCGCCCUGACCUGCUGACGCCCUGGCCCCGCUUGUCAGUCGUGCCCGCGCGCCCGCACGAUCUAUUCUGGGCCGCUGAUCUCUGAUUCGAUGGCCGAGGUUACCCCAUACCCCUUCGUGUGUGAAUUUUGCUUAAGAACCCCCAUGGUUUUAGGAAAUCAACCCACCGUCCUCUGUUUUAGCGCAUAGGUCCCUGGUUUCUUUUGAAUAGCCCCCUGGACUUUUAUUUAAUCACAGAUUUAGCCCUAAUUUCAUAUUUCAAACUUUAAAACUUGUUUAUUUCAUAUCUUUUUCAUAUGAACUCCAAAUUUAGUGGUUCAAAUUGCAAAAUGUUCACAAAAUUAUUCUAUGUUCAAAUAAAAUAUGACCAAUUGUAAUAUGUAUACUUUAUUUUUACACUUAGAAUAUAGGAUUAAUGUAUAUGUUAAUUUAUUUAUUUAAUGAAAUAAAUAAAAUGAAAGCCCUAAGAGUUAAAAUAUAUUUAAUCUUGUGAGAUUAGUGACAUGCAUUACAUGAAUUCAUUUUUGGUUUAACUUUUAGGUCUUAAUGAAAUAAAUAUAAUUAGGUAUGUAAUUAUGGAUAACACUUAAAGGAUAAUCAAGUUCCUAAAUAAGAGUAGUUCAUCUUACAAUUUGCUCUUUUCUUGUUUAAUUACUACUUAACCUUUUUGAGCUAUGUUCCAACACUUAGUGAGUAAUUAUUCCCCAAUUAGGAUUAGUCCAUUUUAUAACUUGAUCUCAUUCCCCUGUACUUAGUACUAUACCUUUUUGAGUUGUGUGCCAAUGCUUGUACAUGUUUGAUGUGAUGUUCAUUUUUACCUUCCAAAUGUAUUGAAUGUAUGGUCGCUUUAUUUAGACAACGAGCAACUCGUGGUUCCUGAGUGUGUUGCCGAAGAUCCCUCUGAGCAACAACCUGGUGAAGGCAAGUGUCCUCAGACCUAUCACGUCCUACUUUACUUUAUAAUUCACUGUCCCGCAUUACAUUAUUGAAACUUAAGGAUUGACUAGUCUGUAUUUACCUUACCCUUGUUUACCUGUUUGAGUCAAUCAUGGUUAGCUUAUGCUAUUUCUUUAACUUAAUCAAUGAACAUGAUGUGAUUAUUUAUGAUACGAUGAUGUUAUCCCGAUGAGGUUCUUGUGAUUCUUUAGGGGGUUCAGGCUGUUUCCUGAGUACCUCUCCGUAAGGACCUAUUUGGGGAGUGACAACCCAGGAUAACAGUGCAACCAUGAGGGUGGAAUGGGACGCCCUUAGCUGAUUAAUUAGAGGAACUAGAGGAGUAGUUGGCUUCGCCGUAGGGCCGUCAAUGGGGUCCGGGCAUAGUACUUGCUCUGCCGAGGCUGGUUGCAGAGGUUCUUUGAUUUGGUUUUGUUAGUCACCCUUCCUUUGGGGAGAUGUAUUGUGUUUAUCAAACUAGAGAAACCUAACAUGCGGCUAUGACCUCUGGGAAAUCUUUGUAAAGGCUACGUAGUGAGACCCUGCUAGGUCACCUUGGUAGUGAACAAUGGGGAGGCUAGAACCCCGGGCAGAAUGGGAAUCACGGCUUGUGGGUAAAGUGUGUGUUGGAACUUGCUACCAGGUGCAAGGGGAUCCAACGGGGGUGAGAGUUGACGUAAACAGGGUUCUAGCAUGGGAUGGCAAAAGCUCUGUUAAUCUAGCCUCUCACGGGCACUGUGCGGGGGUAUUUAUAGGUAUCUGAGCGCCCAGCGUCAUGUGUUAAGGACGCAUGUGCCCUCAGACAUCUAGGUUAUCCCCGGAAUAUUCCCAUAAAGCGGGGUUACAGACCGUAAUUACAGGGAUGCCUUUACAAAUUAGGCCCGUAACGCGCAGCGGCCACGCAGGGCCUGUUAUAAUGGGCCGGAUCACACGUGGGCCUCCAUGCUGGACGAGGUCACAAUGAUGGGACGACCUCGUCACAGGUCUUCGUCUGAUGAUGUGUGGGACGAAGGGUGAGCCUGCCUGUUGUCUUGUCUCCGUUGGUCCGACGAUUACGGCGAAGGCAUCGAGCGAAGGGUGGCGUCUUCGCCUUCGCCCCAACAUUUGCCCUCCGAGGGACCAGUUCGAUUAAGUCAUCUAGUGCCGAAGACGUCGCUAGAUGGCGGAGACGCUGCCCUCGCUCGAAGUGGUUCCACGGGGGUUUUUGACAUGACCGUUGAUUGACACCGUACUAUUGGACUGCGGGUUUCCCGAAGCGCCGCGCACUGUGUAUAAAAGGGGGCGAGGGGCGGCGCAUUUUGAACUUUAUCUUUCCGCGCUCCAUGAAAACCCUAGCCGCCUUUUCCACCUUCUUGCUGCUCGUCUGCCCUCCUUGUUCUUGUUCGCCGGAGAUCUGGCCCGAGUGAAGCAGACCGCCCGCCGCCGCCAACGGUACGUAGCGAUGCCGACUUCUUCUUCUUCUGCUGCCGCUACGCCAUCGGCCGACGCGUCGUCUGAGGAGACGCUGAGCACUAUGGCGGUGGAGGAGUUGCGCGCCGGCGAUACGGUGGAUUUCGGUGUGUCGCGGAUGUCCUCGGUCCGCGUGCAGGAUAUGCAGCAGCUUGGCUACUUUGGCGGCGGAGUCGCUCGCGUCCCGGGGACGGAGGAGGUCCAAGAGCCAGAAGGCGAAUUGGUCGUGUUCGAGGCGUUCUUUGCCGCUGGUCUUCGCCUGCCUGCGCACCGGUUUGUGGGAGAAGUCCUGCGCAGAUUUAACGUUCAGAUCCAUCAGCUGACUCCAAAUGCCGUGGUGGCUCUGUCGAAGUAUGUCUGGGUGACGACUUCGUACGGCGGACAGCCAUCAGUCGAAGUCUUCGCGAAGUACUAUUGCCUGCACUGGCAGAAGAGGAUGAUCGGGAAUGAAGUUGCCCAGUUUGGGUCCUGUACAUUUAUGCCGAAGACCGGCAAGACCUCGAUGGAGGUAGUUGAGUUGGUUCCUUGCGCCCGCAACAAGUGGGGCAACUGGCAUGAGUUUUGGUUCUACGUCGCGGAGGGCACAAUCGAAGACCAUCCGGGGCUCCCCGUGGCCGAGAUGUGCUCGCAUUAUUACUCGGCAUACCCGCCGUUUGAAGUGGUGGAGGAGGAUGUGGACGAAGGGGCCCUUCGGUGCGCCGCCGGCCUGAGCAGCGGGCGCGAUUUGGUUGAGGAGUUUGUGGCAUACGGGGUAUGGCCUUUGGCGCAUGGCUGGGCGUUGGGCGAAGUAUGCCCUCGCCAGAUGCCUUCCCAUGGUGGGAAGCUGGUGCGAAGUCCCGCCUUCGCGCUAGAUCUGCAUAGCCGCGAUCCGGCCGCCUUUGUGCGUGAGGCGGAGGAUGGGGCGGUGCGGAUCGUCGGUCGGUACGUGCCGAGGACGGAGGGCCAGCGUAGCUGGAAUAUUCGCGGGUCUAAUGACCGCUUGAACAGGGUUUUCGAGUUAAACUGUCUGUCGUAUGGCGGUUAUCCCGACCAAGACGAUGUGGAUCGUCGCGGGAAGAAACCGGUGGUAGAGACUGGAGACGACCCCGCGCCGGCGGCUGCCCCGUCCUCCAAGAAGAGGAAACUAGGUAUUGCUAUGGGAGGACUGGGGGUUUCUGAUGGUUUUGCUAGGGAAUUGAUGAGGACAUGCGCGGCCCCGGGGGGAAGGAUGUCUUCGCCCGAGCUCCGGGAGUCUUCGGCGCGGAUGCUGAGGGUUACCGGGGGUUGGUGGCCUAAGAAUGUUCCUAUCCCCCGCGCGGCCGGCGAAGACUUUUUUACAUCUCGCAUGGUUCGUGAUUGGAAAGUGUUUCCUUACGGGCGGAAUAUUGCUGCUGUUGUGUCGGCAGUGAUGGACAAGGAUCGUCAGGGAGCUUCGCAGAAGCGCCAGGCGGUCGUCAGGCUUCAUGAGGCCAGACUGAAGAGGCAGCGGGGGGCUGCGAAGGCUGCUGCCCUCGGCGGGAGCCAGCCGCCGCUAGCGGCGAAAUCGGCCGUCCCUGCAUCCAGCAGGGCGCCGGAGGCUGUGAAGGCGGCUGCCGCCGGUGGUUCCAAGUCUGUGAAGGCCGCCCCUGUGUCCAGCAGGGGGCUAGAGGCUGCGAAGGCGGCCCGAGAGUUGCCGCCUGGGAAGCGCGUCGCCGACUUCGCCACCGACAUUAGUGUGGAAGAUUAUCUUGUCGGUAAGUCGUUGGCUCGAGGUUUUUUUUAUCUGUUGAUACGUCGCAGGGUCGGACGAAGGCCAACUUAUUGUUGUUCUGCCUGCCGUGGCGACCGUAGCGGCUGCCUUGGUGCCCAGGGCGAAGGGCAGUGCUCUUAGUGCCGGCGUGGAGAUACCGACACUCACUGCCGUCAGGGACGAGGCGGGUGCUGUGUCCCGCCGGCUGAAGGAGAUGAAGGAGGCACUGAGCCAGGUACGUUGAGCUAGACUUCGGUUUAUUACCGGCUUCGCUGGGGCUGUGGUCUUAUGUGUGUCUUGUAGGCGGCUAACUUCGCAGACCGCGCGGCGUUGGGGGCCCUGACGGCAGUUGUGUCUGCCGAAGUCGAGAGACUUCGGACGCAACAUGCCGACGCCGUCCGGGAAAAAUCGGCCGCCGACAGCAAGUGCCGCAAGCUGGCGGAUAAGGUGGCCGCGCUGGAGGGUGAAAGGACUGACCUCCGGCGCCAACUGGCGGAGUAAAGGAAGGAGGCUAAUGAGGCCCUCGCCAAGGCACAGUCUGCGCAGGCGGAGGCCAAUUUGGCGCGGUCGGAGGGCAGUCUUGCCAGGCAGCGCGCCGAGCAGUUGGAGGAGCGGCUCAACGCUCUGCAAACUCGUGUGGAGCGGGCCGAGGCCUCGACGCGCGCGGAGGCUGAGCGGACACGUAAACAGCUUAUGGAUUCCUACCGUGAGCUGGGCGCGCGGACCGCUGACUUCGAGGUGUCAGACCGAGAGCCCGGACUUCGCUGCCUCGAGUGGAUACAUGAGGAGUUGCUGGCGCUUCCCGCCAUCGUGGAGGGGUUUAUGUCCUAUGCCUCCCUGGUCACCUGCGAGGGGGCGAUGAACGCGCUCUCUCGCGAAGGGUGCCGGCACUACGAGGUCUUCGACCAAGCUGAUGAGGAUUUUGAGCGUGAUAUCUACAAGGUUGAGGACCCUAUGGUGAAGGAAUCCACGGGAGCCCUCUAUGACCGGAUGUGGGGUCCUCACGGUCGGGAGGUGGUCAGGGAGCGGGCCGAGACGGCGAGGGGUCAGGUAAUGUUUGGCUUUUGUUUGGUGUUUGUUGAGUGUGGGCUAUAUGUGAGUUUGCUGAAUCUGUGUGCUAUGUCUCAGGCAGCGCGUGGCGAGAGGGUGGAUGACUUCGGGGCUUUGAACAGCGAGCUGCCUGACCCGGAGCCGAACCCGGCGGCGGCUGUGUCCGAGGCCGCCCCCGGAAACCGCCGAAGGCGUUCCUGAUGCCCCCGCAGCCACUGCGGCCGACGGAGGCCCGUCGCCAACUGCCGCGCCGAGGGCUGAGGAUCCUGUGAUGGUGGCGGCGGAGUCGACAGCGGAGGAUCCCGCGACGGCUGGGUCUUCGCAGGUGGCUUAGUGGGUGUGGGUAGUUAGGGAAUUUUGGAUAUGUUGCUGAAUCUUGGUUGCUGCGCAGGUUCAAGAUUUUGGGCCUGCGCACGCAACCGCUACUACUAAUUUUUUGGCGGCUUCGACCGUGGAUGAUGGAAAUAAAUCGGAUGGGUUUGCAUCUAAGUUUUCUGAUUUUGGUGACUCUGGAAGCUCGGUUGAGUGGACUGAGGAGUCGUCGGAUGAGGACUUGGACUACUUUGCGGCCUUGGAUGUGGCAGCGGCGGAGGCUUCGCCGCAUGCUGCAGAUGCUGAAGUUGUGCCUGGUCUGAGUACUGGACGUAGGCGGCGAAGGGCGAUUGUGAAGCGUAGAGUGAGUGGGGCGGACGGUGGCCGGCUUCGUGUGAGUAGGGCUGGCAGGCAGGAACUGUUGUGCUUGCCGGCCGCUGUGAGUGCAGGUGAGGGGGAGCUGCGAAGUCUUUUUGCGGGUGAGGAGCUUAGGAUAAUGUUAUUUAACUAUAGGGAGAUGGGAAUUAUUCCAAAGGUUGAGCCUAUGUAGAGUGUGAUGCCCUCGCUUGUACAUGUGUAAUGGCUUGUAUGAUGAGGUUGUGUGCCUUCGCACAUUCGCGAAGGCGAUACGUACUUGGUCUGGUGUAUUUGUUAUGUUGGUCUGGUGCGCAUGUUGUCGGUCUUUGCGCGGACAGUUUGGUGUAGUUGUUUUCGCACUUGUUAAGCUUUGUCCGGCUGCACCCUUAGGCGACCGUUGCACGGAUAGUCUUCGCGGAAGACUUCGAUUUUUCGCACUUGUUGUGCUAGCCCGGCUGCACCCUUAGGUGACUUCUGCACGGAUGGUCUUCGCGGAAAAUUACGAUUUUUCGCACUUGUUGUGCUAGUCCGGCUGCACCCUUAGGCGACUUCUGCACGGAUAGUCUUCGUGGAAGACUUUGAUUUUUCGCACUUGUUGUGCUAGUCCGGCUGCACCCUUAGGCGACUUCUGCACGGAUAGUCUUCGCGGAAGACUUCGAUUUUUCGCACUUGUUGUGCUAGUCUGGCUGCACCCUUAGGCGACUUCUGCACGGAUAGUCUUCGCGGAAGACUUCGAUUUUUCGCACUUGUUGUGCUAGUCCGGCUGCACCCUUAGGCGACUUCUGCGCGGAUAGUCUUCGCGGAAGACUUCGAUUUUUCGCACUUGUUGUGCUAGUCCGGCUGCACCCUUAGGCGACUUCUGCGCGGAUAGUCUUCGCGGAAGACUUCGAUUUUUCGCACUUGUUGUGCUAGUCCGGCUGCACCCUUAGGCGACUUUUGCACGGAGUUGUCGCACGCGAGGGUGGCUAGCGCUGAGCCUCGCGGUGACUUUGUAUUGGUCGAAUGUCGAAGACUGUCGGCGCAGUCUUGUUUCGACGCAGGUUUUUGCGGGGGAUUUUUCACUUGUAUAUUACAUGACUCCGCCUCGUUAAAAACCUCACCCCCCGGGAGGAAAAGAGUGCGGGCCACAAUAAAAUUGUUUUUGCGAAUUACAAGGGCGAAUCGGCCCUGAUGAGUCAAACAAAAAAUUUGCGGAGAUUGUCGAUGUUCCAGGAGUGCUCCAGGUCUUCGCCGUUUGGCGUUGCGAGCCUGUAAGCGCUGGGGGAAGCCUUCAUCUUGACAAUGAAAGGGCCCUCCCACUUGGGCUCCAGCUUGCCCCUGGACUCUGUCCGAGCUGUUCGGACAAGUACGAGGUCCCCUUCGCUGAAUUCCCUCGGGAUGACUGUGUGGUCGCGCCAUGCUUUUGUCUGGGCUUGGUAUUUAUUUAGAGCCUGUAGGGCGAAGACUCGGUCUCCAUCGAUGAGAUCCUUCGAAGUGGGCUCGUCCACGUCGGGGACGGCUGACGGAACUGUUUGCGGGGACCCAUGUCUUAUUUCUUGUGGGGUCAUGGCCUCCGAUCCAUAUAGAAGGCGGAAAGGGGUGAACCCGGUCGCCCUGCACUCAGUCGUGUUUAGCGCCCAGACCGCCUCAGGUAGCAAAUCGGCCCACUUGCCCUUUUUUCGUCGAGGAGCAUCUUUUUGACAGCUGUGAAAAUUUUUCCAUUGGCACGCUCCACAACUCCGUUGGACUGUGGGUGAUAUAUUGAGGCGAAGGCAAGCUUGGUGCCAAUGGAGAAGCAUAAAUCCUUGAAGUCUUGGCUGUCGAACUGCUUGCCGUUGUCGACUGUUAGUUCGGACGGUACUCCGAAGCGGCAAACAAUGUUUUGCCAAAAGAAUUUCUGUGCAGUCUUUGAUGUUAUUGUGGAAACAGCCCUCGCCUCGAUCCAUUUGGUAAAGUAUUCGACAGCGACGAAGGCGAACUUAAGGUUCCCCUGAGCCGUGGGCAGGGGCCCGACGAUGUCCAGGCCCCAGCGCUGUAGAGGCCAUGUGUGCGCGAUCAGUUUUAUGAAUUGCGAGGGGCUGCCUGACCGAGGAGAAAACUUCUGGCAGGCUUCGCAGGACCUUGCAACCCGAUUUGCGGCGCAGAUCAUUGCGGGCCAGUAGAAACCUUGGCGGAUCACCUUUGCGGCUAGGGCCCUUGGCCCUGCGUGAGAGCCGCAAGUACCACUGUGGACUUCGCGCAGGAUUUGGACGCCUUCGGUCUCGGUGACACAUUUAAGCAUUAGCUGACUGACCCCUUUCUUGUAGAGUUGGCCCUCAAUCAGUGCGAAGUCCCGGCUUCGAUGUUUGAGGCGCUUGGCCUCGUUGAUGUCGGUUGGGUGGUAGUACCCCUGUAGGAACAGGGUUAUUGGUGCCCGCCAGUCUUCGGUCAUAAUAAGGUUGACUAUGCGGUGGCCCUCGCUGUCAUUGGUUAUUUGGAGCCCUUCGGGGCUCCGGACGGCUGGCGUGCCGAUGACAUGGUAGAACACGUCGGAGGGCAGGGACUCGCCUCUGGCGGCAGCCUUGGCCAGUGCGUCGGCCUCUUCAUUCUUGGCCCGGUCCACAUGCUGCAAGGUGAAUCCCUUGAAUUGUCUCUCGAGACUUCGGAUGGCCGCGAGGUAUUACAUAAGUGCGGGGUCCUUUGCUGCAUAGUCUUUCUCGACUUGGCCGGCAACUACCUUGGAGUCUGUUCUGAUGAUGCAGGUGGUGACCCCAAGGGCCCUCAGCUUGCGGAGGCCGAGGAUGACUGCUUCGUAUUCUGCUAUGUUAUUUGUGCAUCUGUCAGAUUCCAGAGCGAAGCUGAGGCGUGCUGCGUAUCUGUGCUUGACCCCGGCGGGUGAGGUGAUGACUGCAGCGGCGCCUGCCCCCGCAUGGCACCAUGCGCCGUCGCAGUGGAUCGUCCAAACCUUCUCUGCGGACGGGUCCGGCUGUGUUAUUGGCCCAGUCCAGUCGACGACGAAGUCUGCCAGGACUUGUGACUUGAUGGCUGUCCUGGGCUCGAAAUUGAUGUGGUAGCCGGAGAGUUCGGCCACCCACUUGGCAAUCCUCACCGAUGGCUCUGGGUUUCUGAACAAUUCACCGAGUCCCCUGUCUGAGGUGACUCGGACCUUGAAUGCUUCAAAAUAAUGGCGCAAUUUGCGCGAAGACAUAACAACCGCGUAGGCAAUCUUCUCCAGUUCUGUCAUGUUACAUUUGGACGGUGUCAGCACUUCGGAGACGUAAUAAACUGGGCACUGCCUGAUCACGCCCUCAACUGUCUGCUCCUGCACCAGUGCCGCACUGACCGCUUGCGGCGAAGCCGCAACAUAGAGCAACAGGGGUAGCGAAGAGUCGGGGCUUGUAAGGACUGCCAACUCCGAUAGGUACUGUUUUAAUGAGGCGAAGGCCGCUGCCUGCUCUGGUCCCCAAGCGAAGUCUUUUGCGCCACAGAGAGUUUUGAGGAAAGGGAGACUUCGCUCAGCGGAUUUGGAGAUGAAUCUAUUGAGGGCGGCCAACCUGCCCGUCAGGCGCUGGACGUCUCUGGCGGACUGCGGAGGCGUCAUGUUGAUGAUGGCCUGAAUUUUGGUUGGGUUGACCUCGAUGCCGCGGUGUGAUACCAGGUAGCCCAAUAUUUUGCCUUGGCGAACGCCGAAGACACACUUCUCCGGGUUCAGGCGAAGUCGUGCGUCUCGCAUGUUCGCGAAUGUCUCGGCGAGGUCAGCGAGAUGGUCCUCCUUGCUCUUGCUGGCGACGACGAUGUCGUCCAUAUAUGUGAAUAUAUUUCUGCCAACCUGCCCUUCGAGCACUGUCUUGGUAAGCCGGGAGAAGGUGGACCCGGCGUUCUUGAGUCCCUCCGGCAUUCUGAUGAAGCAAUAUGUGCCGAAGAGUGUUAUAAAGCUGGUGCUUGCCUUGUCUUCCUCCUUCAUGUAUAUUUGGUGGUAACCGGAGAAGCAGUCGAGGAGUGACAUGACUUCGCAUCCGGCCGCGCUAUCGACUAUUUUGUCGAUCCGCGGCAACGGGAAGUUGUCCUUUGGGCAGGCCUUGUUGAGACUGGUGAAGUCGAUGCACAUUCGCCACUUGCCGCUCUUUUUCUGCACCAUCACUACGUUGGAGAGCCACGUGGGGUAAGCCACCGGCUCGAUGAAUUUGGCUUCCAGGAGGCGGUGUACCUCUGCCUUGGCGGCCUCUAUCUUCUCGUCGGACAUUUUGCGAAGCCGCUGUUUUUUCGGUCUCACCGAAGGGUCGAUUCCCAAGCUAUGCUCAAUUAUGGAUCGGCUGACCCCGACUAGGUCGAGGGCUGACCAGGUGAAGACAUCUUUGUUCUUGGACAGGCAGCAGAGGAGUUUCUCCUCUUCAUGCGAAGUGAGGUCUUUGCUGAUGGUGACUGUCUGCUUGGGCGUGGCUUGGUCGAGGGGAACAGUCUUGGUCCCGUCGUUGCUCUGCAGCUGUGCCUUGUCGUGCUCUUUGUCGGUUGGGUUGACGGACGCUGGGACCUCGCGCUGGGCCGUGAGGCAGUUCACGUUUCUUUGUCCGGGGACGAAGUCCCGUUCUAUGUUGCGCGCAGUCUGUUGAUUGCCGUAGACCGCAAUGGCGCCUAACGGACCUGGUAUCUUCAUGCACAGGUACAGUUCGUGAAUGGCUGCCUCAAACUUGUUGAUAGAACCCCGGCCCAUGAUGGCGUUGUACAGAUACACCAUAUCGACGAUAUCAAAGGUUAUUUGCUCACUUCGGGCAUUGGGUGCUACACCGAAGGAGAGAGGCAGCUCUAUUUUGCCGACAGGAAAAGUGCCCUUGCCACCGAAACCAUACAAUGGGUUGUCCGAAGGCUUGAGUAGGCUGUGGCUUAUGCCCAUGCGGUCGAAGGCAUGGAGGAAAAUGAUGUCUGCUUGACUGCCAUUGUCGACUAGGACUUUGUGCAGGUCUCAGCCUGCCACGCUGCAGUUGAUAACCAUGGUGUCGAUGUGGGGGGCGCUGCGCAGGUCGACGUCUCGUGCGUCGAAGGUUAGCGGUACGUGGGACCACUUCGUCUGCACGAUUGGGCCAGUGAUGGCAACGUGGUUGAUGCUGCGGUAGUGGUCCCGCUUCUGCCGCUUUGUGUCGAAGUCGGUGCUGGACCCCCCAGUGAUCAUGUGAAUGACUCCACGAUACGACUGAUCGGCGAAGUCUUCUUGUUUUGGGGCGUGGGGGUGGGGGAUGUUCUGAUGUUGCUGGUGUGGAGGCAGGGGUGGGGGAGGUACGAUUUGUACUUCCUGGUGGUGUUGGUAUGCGUGGUGCGGUGGAUGCGGGGCGGGAGCGUGGAUGUAUGGUGGAGGGGGUUGCUGAUAAGUGUGGGCGACAACUCUGGGGUUGUUGGCUGGCUGUGCCCGUGCCAUCCUGUCUUUGGUGGCCUUCGUUUCUGGGCAGUCUCUGGUUUGGUCGGCGCAGUCUUCGCCAUGAAAAAGACAGUAGAAUCGGCGCGGCGACUGCGCACGCCCCCGACCCCUACCGCGAGUUCCGUUUCCGCGGCCCUGGGGGGAUACUCCUGGCGGCGAGGGGCGUCAGCAGCGGGGUGCUGGUUGGCGAUGUUGUGCACUUGUUGCUGAUUGCGGCCGUCUCGACCGGAGUCUGGCUGCGGAGUCCUCGUCCACGUGCGACUGGACUGUGGAGCAUCUUUGGGUUUCCUCUGGGACUCAACCUUGCGCUGGUGGAGUUCUUCGGAUUUGGCAUAUUUUUCAAAAAGCUGAUAUAAUUCCUGGAGGUUCUUGGGCAGGUCCUUGAUGCAGUGGCUGUAAAGGACGCCGGCGCGAAGGCCACUGAUGGCGUAGUGGAUGGCGAUCUGGUCAUCAACUGAGGGUAGCUGUGACUUGAGUGUUAGAAACUUGCGGUAAUACUCCCGCAGAGUCUCUUUUUCCAGCUGCUUGCAGAGUGAGAGUUCGGCGAAGGCGUCGGUGUCUGGGCGGUACCCUUGGAAGUUGAGCAGGAAUUUGUCCCGGAGGCUUCUCCAGGAGUCAAUGGACAGCGGGGGCAACCUAGUGAACCAGGUGAGAGCUGGACCUUCGAGGGCUAUGAUGAAAGACUUGGCCAUCGUGGUGUCGUCCCCUCCGGAAGAUGCAAUGGCGACCUGAUAGCUCAUGAUGUAUUGUGCUGGGUCCGUGCUGCCGUUGUACUUGGGAUAAGUCCCUGCCCGGAAGUUGGCAGGCCAGGGUGUCACUUGCAGGUGUGGUGCCAGGGGACUUCGCUCGUCGAGGUAGUUGACCCCUUAGAAUGGCGCGGCGUGUGGGAAGUCGUGGUCGCGCUGGGGGAAGUGUGGGUCUUCCAUUUGCGCGCGCUGUUGCAGGGGUGGCCCGUGCUGCAGGCCGAGGUGGCCUUCGUGUAUGUCUUCCAGUUGUGCGCGCUGUUGCAGGGGUGGCCCGUGCUGCAGGCCGAGGUGGCCUUCGCGUUGCAUCAGCGCGAUCUCCCGCUCGAGGUCCUGGGCCUUCUGCUCUUCGUCGCGUAUCAUUUGCUGCACCUUGGCUAGUGCGGACACGCGCUGACGCUUGGCCUCCAGUAUCUCUUUUUGCCUCUGGAGAUUGUGGUUCUUGAGGCGUAGGGCGCGCAGCUGUAGCUGUUCUUCCGCUGAGACGCCGAGGACUUCACCGUCCUCGAUGAUGUCCGCGCCCUCCGGUGGGGCGAAGCCUGGGGGAGGCUGCGAUUGUCCUUCAGGGCCGCAGUUGCGGAGAGCGUCAUCUUCGCAGGUGCGGAGAACGUCGUCUUCAGUAGCCUCUUGGUGGGUGGAGUGGGUGAGGGCGAGGGCCUUGCCCUUUUUUGCGGCCAGCAGUGUUGCCUUCGCAGCCUCGUCAGCCUUCGAGCUAGCUUUCUUGGGUGCCAUCGCGGGUGGUUUUUUCGUAGCACGAACGGUGGGCGCCAAAUGUUGGAACUUGCUACCAGGUGCAAGGGGAUCCAACGGGGGUGAGAGUUGACGUAAACAUGGUUCUAGCACGGGAUGGCAAAAGCUCUGUUAAUCUAGCCUCUCACGGGCACUGUGCGGGGGUAUUUAUAGGUAUCUGAGCGCCCAGCGUCCUGUGUUAAGGACGCAUGUGCCCUCAGACAUCUAGGUUAUCCCCGGAAUAUUCCCAUAAAGCGGUGUUACAGACCGUAAUUACAGGGAUGCCUUUACAAAUUAGGCCCGUAACGCGCAGCGGCCACGCAGGGCCUGUUACAAUGGGCCGGAUCACACGUGGGCCUCCAUGCUGGACGAGGUCACAAUGAUGGGACAACCUCGUCACAGGUCUUCGUCCGAUGACGUGUGGGACGAAGGGUGAGCCUGUCUGUUGUCUUGUCUCCAUUGGUCCGACGAUUACAGCGAAGGCAUCGAGCGAAGGGUGGCGUCUUCGCCUUCGCCCCAACAGUGUGCAACCUCUGCAGUGUGUUAGAAACUGGUAUAUCAGCCGUGCUCACGGUUAAGAGCAGCCUUGGGAUCCUCUUUGAUUAGAAGAACUUUGGUUACUUUUAGGAUGAUGAUUAACAAUGGUGAUUAUAAUUCUGAUCUCUGGUAUUUCCUCUUAGAGGGAGUACUCCUGGGUAAUAACUGGGUUAUUACUAAAAUUUGGCUCUACUUAUAGUAAUAAAACUUGACCAACUAAAAGCAACUGCUUAACCUAAACUCCACAUACAGCUAGUCCACUUUAUGCCAAACGAGACAUUUGCUGAGUACGUUGAAGUGUACUCACCCUUGCUUUACAAACCACCCCACCCCAGGUUGUCUCCACUGUACUCAGUGCUCAGGAGGUGAAGCUGGCAAUAUGGAGGACUUCGAGGAGUUCCAGGACUACGACGAGUUCUAGUUUACUUUAGUGGCAAACCCACAGUCAGUUGCUUGUGUAGGCUUUCUUCUAUGUUUCAUUACUCCGCACUUUGAUGUUAAUGUUAAACACUGUGGAUAUGUAUUAGACUCUAUGGAUGUCUCAGACAUCCUGAUGUAAUUAAGUACCUUUCCGUUAUUUAAUUCGAGCAUUGUGUGAUGAUGUCCAAUUAUGUAAUCGUUGUGUACGUGAGUUCUGAUCCUGGCACAUACAUGGUUCGCAUUCGGUUUACCUUCCAAAACCGGGUGUGACAUACAUGGACGGUGGGCUAAUUCCCAAAAAGAGCAGGGGCUCUUAUGUAAGAAUUCCCAGUCGAAGGGGUAUUGUGCGCUCAGAGCCGCACGAUUAGAAUCUAGCGCGCCAGAUCAGAUCUUGAUCGGUCACCGAGUGAAGCCAUUGGAUUCAGAUCCGACGGCCCUGAUUAAAAGGUUGAAGGACUAUUCUGGGUUCUCAUCCGCACCACACAUUAGUGAUCCUACGGUUUGAUUCUAACUCCUCGAUAGGGUUUGUGAUGACCGAUUCAUGUCCGUCCGUUACCGGAUCUACGACCAGUAUUGAAUGGGUAUCCUAUGCUCUAAUUAGAGCCAUCCAUGGCCGGAUCAACGCCCCUGACAAUUCUUCCCCACCCAAGCACAUCAGGCGGUGGUGCUGGCCUCCCCCGCGGCGUCGACCAUCGACCAGAGAAGCCCGACACAGCCCCUAGAGCACCCAAACCAUCAUUAUUACACGCUACGCAACACAGUGAACAGAACAAAUCAAUCUCAAAGCUUCUUACCUACAAUGGUGUUGCGACGCAUACCGCCCUCGGAGUAGUGUGGCCCACGACGGCGCCAUUGCUCCGUUGAGCGAUUUGGCCAAGCACGCCACAAAAUCCCCGCACCGCAGACCAUGCACACGACCUACGCUCCCUGGUGAACAUGUACGAUCCCCAUACAAGGCUGAAUGAUGACCGAUGCGUGAAGUGGCUGCGGCGGUCAGAUUCUCUCACAUCUCACCAUGGUGCCCGGUAAUGAUGUCUCCUUGCUCACGGCGAGCAACUCCAGUUCCUG